CUGGAGGCAGGAGCAGGCAGUGAGCUGAAUCAAGAGAAGCAGCUUUGAAAGGGUGGAUACAGUCUAGUAUUAGUCUGGUCUCAUUCAUCAAAAAGCAGGCUGAGAGUGUAACGCUCCCUCAGAGCUUAAUCCAAGUCAUUCUCUAGCAUAGAGCCUGAGUCUGUCUCCAGAACUGAAAAAUCCAUAAUUCUGGAUCCUCCACCAAUGCACUGGACAACUCCUAAAGCUAUACUAGAGUCAACUUUAUCCAUUUUUCAAGAUGGCUACUGAGUAGAAGCAGAGCUCUUCUUCUCUCCACCAAUCAAGACAGAGUGCCUCAAAUAGACAAAACCAAACUCAAACAAGCAAAGAAGUUCCACAGUAGGACACAGCACAGAAGGUAGGCAACGUUAGGAAAUUUCCACGCUAAAAGGGGGCAAAAAUUUCCUCCCACCAGGAGGUGAGCACACCACCCCUCCCCCACUUCACCUACCUU
rnacentral:lncRNA from 1 species